rnacentral:rRNA from 1 species
UACGUAGGGGGCAAGCGUUGUCCGGAAUCAUUGGGCGUAAAGAGCGUGUAGGCGGCUCGGUAAGUCCGCUGUGAAAGUCCAGGGCUCAACCCCUGGAAUGCCGGUGGAAACUGUCGAGCUAGAGUCCGGAAGAGGAGAGUGGAAUUCCUGGUGUAGCGGUGAAAUGCGCAGAUAUCAGGAAGAACACCCGUGGCGAAGGCGGGUCUCUGGGCCGAUGACUGACGCUGAGGAGCGAAAGCGUGGGGAGCGAACAGG